GACGAACGCUGGCGGCGUGCCUAAUACAUGCAAGUAGAACGCAGUUGCGAACGGGUGAGUCACGCGUAGGUAACUGCCUCAUAGCGGGGGAUAACUAUUUGAAACGUUCGCUAAUCCCGCAUACUGUGCUUUUGACCUGCUUUGUAUUAGCUAGGUGGUGAGGUAAAGGCUCACCAAGGCGACGAUACAUAGCCGGCCUGAGAGGGUGAUCGGCAUAACUGGGACUGAGAAACGGCCCAGACUCCUACGGGAGGCAGCAGUAGGGAAUCUUCGGCAAUGGACGGAAGUCUGACCGAGCAACGCCGCGUGAGUGAAGAAGGUUUUCGGAUCGUAAAGCUCUGUUGUUAGAGAAGCGGGAAAUAACGAGAAAGGGACGGCUAACUACGUGCCAGCAGCCGCGGUAAAAG
rnacentral:rRNA from 1 species